rnacentral:rRNA from 1 species
AUGGAGAGUGCCUGCGCAAACCUCACUGGUGCUGUGCGCUUGGUGCAGCUGCUCAAGAUCGAAGGCUUUAGGGGGGAAGUGAGACUUCCGCUAUUCCUCCCUGAUUUCAUCAAAUCCACAUGGAGAUGGAGCGUCGGUGGCUAUGAGUGGGAAAUCCGAAUCUAUCCUGCAAAGAUGAUGUCCACCGAUCUGUGGCUAAUACUGGAGCUGAACCUUCUCAGUGAGCCCCGCGUAUGCAGGGCGAGCCUAGCAGGCCGGCUCGUAGAUCCGAGUGGGAAGCUUGAACCAUCGGAAGAAAAGAGUGCAUUCUACCGCCCCGAAGAGAGUAAAAAUUACUUGUGGCUCAUGCGUACAGGUGAUUUGCGAACGUCAGGUUAUCUCAGGGAUGGCACUUUGACUGUGCAGGGCGCCAUCACUGUGCUCAAGGAGUUACCGGAACCAGCCAUCCCCGGUAAAGAAGUGACCGAGCCAUCCCACACCUUGAACCAGCACCUCGGCGACCUCCUGCAGAGCGGGACGGGGGCGGACGUCACAUUUCUCGUGUCCGGCGAGUCUUUUGCCGUGCAUAAAAACAUAUUGGCCGCAAGAUCUCCGGUGUUCAUGGCUGAGUUCUUCGGGGACAUGAAGGAGAAGUGCUCACAAAGUCUGAAGAUAGACGACAUGGAGGCUGAGGUAUUCAAGGCACUGCUCUGUUUCAUCUACACCGACAUUGUGCCGGAAUUUGAAAAUCAGGAGGAUGUGACGUUGAUGGCGCAACAUCUAUUUGCUGCUGCUGACAGGUAUGGACUUGACAUGCUCAAGCUCAUAUGUUCUGAUAAGCUUUCUAAUGGCAUCAGCAUCAACACGGUGGCAACGACGUUGGCUUUAGCAGAGCAGCACCGCUCUUUGCAGCUCAAGGCGAAGUGUGUGGACUUUAUCAUUAGUACUCCAACAAUUCUUGAUGCCGUGUUGGCGACGGAUGGGUAUAAGCAUCUGGCGUCAAGCUGCCCUUCGGUGGUGACUGACCUUCUCAAGGCUGCGUGCAGUAGAAAGAUUUGA